UCCGUAGGUGAACCUGCGGAAGGAUCAUUAUCGAAAUUCAGAGGGAGGGGGAGAAAGACUUUGGGGGAAGGGAAAUGACUGUCGCUGGCUAGGCUUUUUUGCCUUGCAUGUGCACGUCUUUGGCUUCUUUCGUCGAUCUCUCUUCUCUUUCAAACAAACUUCACACUUGUGCACCUAUUGUAGAUCGGCUUGCAAGAGUUGAUCUACGUUUUUCCUACACACGAACCUGUCUAUAGAAUGUAUGAAAGACCACCAUGGUGUCUAUAAAAUAAAAAUAUAUACAACUUUCAGCAACGGAUCUCUUGGCUCUCGCAUCGAUGAAGAACGCAGCGAAUUGCGAUAAGUAAUGUGAAUUGCAGAUUUUCAGUGAAUCAUCGAAUCUUUGAACGCACCUUGCGCUCCUUGGUAUUCCGAGGAGCAUGCCUGUUUGAGUGUCAUUUUUUAUUCUCAACCAAGUCUUGAUUGAGACUUGGAUUGGAGUUUGGAGGUUGCUGGCUAAGGUCAGCUCUUCUGAAAUGCAUUAGCAAAAGGUUGGCUAGUCUUGGGCACACCAUGGCUUUCGACGUGAUAAUGAUCGUCGUGGACAUUGGAGUGUUUGACUUGCAUGAAUGACCUAUUGCUUUCAAGUGGAAUUGAUUCGGGGCAUGAAUGGCACUUAGCUACUAGUCAGUCGUGAGGCUGACGAACGCGGUGCUUGUACUACCUUGAUGACCGUCUUCUUCGAAACUUGACCUCAAAUCAGGUAGGACUACCCGCUGAACUUAAGCAUAUCAAUAAGCGGAGGA
rnacentral:rRNA from 1 species